UGGAGAAGGGAUAGCUCAGUCAGUAGAGCAUUUGACUCUUAAUAUCAGGGUUGUGGGUUCGAGCCCAACAUUGGGGAAAAA